rnacentral:hammerhead_ribozyme from 1 species
AUCUAGCUUAGUCCCAAAUAGAACGAAACGCGUGUCCUUGAU